UCGGGGGGGAGCGCCGGCCCAAGUUCCUUGGAACAGGACGUCGCAGAGGGUGAGAAUCCCGUGCCAGGCCGGCAGCCUCCUCCCGGGUGAAGGUCCUUCGACGAGUCGAGUUGUUUGGGAAUGCAGCUCCAAGUGGGUGGUAUAUUUCAUCUAAAGCUAAAUACCGGCGGGAGACCGAUAGCGCACAAGUAGAGUGAUCGAAAGAUGAAAAGCACUUUGAAAAUAGAGUCAAAAAGUACGUGAAAUUGUUGAAAGGGAAGCGCUUGAGACCAGACUCAGACCCGGGCAAACACCGCGCCCCCCGGGGCCGUGCAAUUGCCUGGGGCUGGGCCAGCAUCAGUUGGCGUGGCGGGACAAAGGCGGGGGCAAUGUGGCUCCCCUCGGGGAGUGUUAUUAGGCCCCGGCUCAAUGCCGCCGACGUCGACUGAGGACCGCGCCUCGGCUAGGAUGCUGGCUUAAUGGCCUUCAGCGACCCGUCUUGAAACACGGACCAAGGAGUCUAACAUCCAUGCGAGUGUUUGGGCGUCAAACCCUUGCGCGUAAUGAAAGUGAGCGGAGGUGGGAACCCCUCGCGGGGCGCACCAUCGACCGAUCCUGAUGUCUUCGGAUGGAUUUGAGUA
rnacentral:rRNA from 1 species